AAAACAGAGCACACUAUUUCUUUCCAUUUGAUGCAAUCUUUACAUGAGAUUAAGCAUAAGCAAACAAAAAAUCAACCAUGGUGGCAGUGGGAAGAGCUUUGAAGAGUAUAACACACAGUGUGCAACUCCCUUCACCAGGUGCUGGCUGGAACCCAAGACUCCUUGCCAGGCCAACAGACAAUGACCUGACCUCAGUUAUUCGAGCCUCUGCCACCUUGGCCUUGGCUAGAUGAUACAUCUUGGGCAAGAGACCUGCAGCACUCUGGUGGCUCCAGCUAGCCAAGAAGACAGCAGAUCUCUUCCUCCACAACAGAAUCUAUCGCAAGCACAACCUACUGGUUUUAGGAUUUCUCCUGCAGCUUCCCACAGAAUGAUGAAUGUGCUAAGUUUUGCUCUGUAAGGCAUUUCAUGGCCUGGCACUAAGGUCAAUACAUUUCCAGAGAAAAGACCAUGGACAAGAAUUAUACAAUGAAUGCUACAUGGUAAAAUUAAAACUCACAGUGGGGUAGAGGGCUUUCCCAAGGACCUAAUCAAAAAUAGAAAGUGCUUGACACCCUUUUCUCCCAAAUGCAAAGCAUAUUUCUUCAUGUAUAUAUACAUUUGCAUGCCACAACAUAUGUUAUUGGACAAAAAUCAUUAAACAAACCCAUGAGAUUCUAACAUGCACAUUUCUUCUUCUGUAGAGUGGAUUAAAAAAAAAAAAAAAAAAAA